ensembl:lncRNA
CUGAGUGUUUAUGUAUGUAUUAUGCGUGUAUUUAUAACUAUAACAGGCGUACGUCACGUGUUAUAACCGUACCGGCGCGUGUGUUAUAAUGCUUUACAUCAUGAACAGACAUUAUAAGGCUUUAUGUAAGCUAACAUUAUGAAGUAUCAGGUGUGUAUCGAUCACCAGAACAGGCUUACACCAUUACAGCAUUACGACGUGUCAUCCAUGCGUUAUAACACAGUAUGAACACAGGGUUCGAGGGAAACGUUCCGAUCGUUCUGUAAGAUUUCUGCUCGUUGUGUUUGUUGUUUGUUCACACACAUCGCAUCCAGGUGUUUUUUUUGUUGUUUGUUUGUGAAGUUUAGCUGAUUACCUGAUGUCAGAGCUGUAGAGUUUCGUUCACACAGGAUUCAGGGAAGUUUACCGUCAAGCCUGGAGUUUAUCCACGGGUGUGGGGGGGGAGGGGGGUGUGGGGGGGGGGGGAGGGGGGUUUGAAUUCUAAAGUUGCCUUAGUUUUAUAAAGUUAUAGCUACUUAUUAAAGCUACUAUAUCGGUAGCGCUUUAUUUUACAGUAUCACAGUCUAGUAUUUAAUAAAAAAGUGAUGUAGUAAUUACAAGUAACAUCUGGAAACUGCAAGGUCUGUGCGAAAGUAAACGGCGCUUUAGCUUAUAAUAAUCAUAACGAGUUCAUGCGUAGUCAUUUACCUUUUUUUUUUUGUCGCGUCUUAGCAUCGUGUAGCCUUUUCAAUUCCGAUAAUGAAAUCGCUUAGGAGAAAUCUACUUGUGAUUAUCGCGUGUAAUUAUUAAACCCCGAGUGCUUGCGGUACUGUAAGAUAAAGUGCCGAGUUUUCUUUUGUGCCAGUUUUUUCCCCUAUACACUGUUGGUGUUUUUUGGGGACGCGACCACAAUCUCAGCGUGGGUUUGCACUGUGUUUAAGUAGCCGGUAAAUAUCGGAGGUUCUCACCGGUACCUUGUUUGAAAGUGUCGAUAAGUGCCUGUGUGUGUCCGUGCACUCGGGUGGGGAAAACUUGAGCAGAAAUGGGCGUUGUUUCAUUUGAUGAUUUUUAUUUCUUUCUCGGUUUAACACACUACUUUGUACAGAACAGAAAGAAUCCAAAGCAUUGGGAAACCGACCGGAUUUGUGCGUGUGUGAGAGUGUGUGUAUGAUGUACGUGUGUGUAUGAUGUACGUGUGUGUGUGUGUGUGUAUCCUGAAGAGGCUCGUGGUGUUGCAAAAAUACACUUGGGAGUGGCUUCAUAUUUGACUUAUUUUUGCCGAAUGGCUUUACACUGGAGACGACACUAUUUUUAGAGAACAAUGCCUUACUGCAGAUUUGUAUACAGUUUAUAAGCCCGUUCGACAGUUUAUCCAAUGUUUAAUAAAGAAUACUUGUUUUGAAUGACUUCUUAAAACAGCUUUUUCCUGUUUCUACUCCUUUCUGUUGCGUAUGAAAACAAAAGCUCUCUGUGCCAGAUUUCAGUCUUUUAUACACAAAAAUCGCAUGCUGGAAUAAAUGUCUCAAACUUUUCAGCUAUAAUCUUAAUGUUCCUCGUUUAUUCACUCUGAUGAAUCCUUC